rnacentral:tRNA from 1 species
UCUAAUAUGGCAGAUAAGUGCAAUGGAUUUAAGCUCCAUAUAUAAAGAAUAUAAUAUAUACUUUUAUUAGAA